AGCAGCCGCGGUAAUUCCAGCUCCAAUAGCGUAUAUUAAAGUUGUUGCAGUUAAAAAGCUCGUAGUUGAAUUUCGGAGUUUAUCGGUUGGUCGGGCUUCACUGUCCGCACUGACCUGAUGGAUUCCUACCUUCUGAAUAACCAGCAUGCUAUUAAGUUAGUGCGUUGGGGAAGCAGAGCUAUUACCUUGAAAAAUUAGAGUGCUUAAAGCAGGCUUAUGCUUGAAUAGAUUAGCAUGGAAUAAUAAAAUAGGACGGCAUGGUUCUAUUCUGUUGGUUUCUAGGAUCACCGUAAUGAUUAAUAGGGAUAGUUGGGGGCAUUAGUAUUCAAUUGUCAGAGGUGAAAUUCUUGGGUUUAUUGAAGACUAACUUCUGCGAAAGCAUUUGCCAAGGAUGUUUUCAUUAAUCAAGAACGAAAGUUAGGGGAUCGAAGACGAUCAGAUACCGUCGUAGUCUUAACCAUAAACUAUGCCGACUAGGGAUCGGACGA
rnacentral:rRNA from 1 species